rnacentral:lncRNA from 1 species
UACACAUUUUUUGUUUAAGGGUCAGCUGAAUACCGACUACGUGUACGAUAUUUUUCCGCCGUGAUUAAGACCAUUUGGUGGCCUUGGCCUGUUCUACUCAUGUUCGGGCUGUUUUCACUGAUACAUUACCCAUUUCCAUUCUCGAUUUGAGUUAUAACGACUGUUUGGAAUAGAUCGUAUAUAAAAGAGGGGCCAAAGAUACCAGACAUUCAAACUUAUAGAUCGAAAAUAAACUGACAACGCCAUGGCUAAAAAAGAAAAGGACAAACAGACAAAUAAUAGUACACAAGACACAUCAAAGAAAACUAUAGACUAAGC